CCUACGGGUGGCUGCAGUGGGGAAUAUUGGACAAUGGGCGAAAGCCUGAUCCAGCCAUGCCGCGUGUGUGAAGAAGGCCUUCGGGUUGUAAAGCACUUUCAGUGGGGAAGAAAGCCUUGGGGCUAAUACCCUCGAGGAAGGACAUCACCCACAGAAGAAGCACCGGCUAACUCCGUGCCAGCAGCCGCGGUAAUACGGAGGGUGCGAGCGUUAAUCGGAAUUACUGGGCGUAAAGCGCGCGUAGGCGGUCUGAUAAGCCGGUUGUGAAAGCCCCGGGCUCAACCUGGGAACGGCAUCCGGAACUGUCAGGCUAGAGUGCAGGAGAGGAAGGUAGAAUUCCCGGUGUAGCGGUGAAGUGCGUAGAGAUCGGGAGGAAUACCAGUGGCGAAGGCGGCCUUCUGGACUGACACUGACGCUGAGGUGCGAAAGCGUGGGUAGCAAACAGGAUUAGAUACCCUGGUAGUC
rnacentral:rRNA from 1 species